CCUCUCCUCCCUGUGCCCCAG
rnacentral:miRNA from 1 species